ACUUUACAUCAACAAUAAAUUGGACAAGAAAUUGACCAAGUUAUUCAAGGCCAAAUUUGACGUGUAAAAGCACACUUUGACAUCUAAGUUUGUUCGUUAUAAACUUCACGUGAAGAAAUUGAUGAAAAAGAAAAUUGUUCUAUUUUUUCAUUUUAUUUGGCGUGAAUUCAGUGUCACCAACCUGUGUCCAUUUGGCGGGAAGUGGAAGUAGAGCUUUUUGUUUAUUAUUAUUUGUUGAGGUUGAGUCUUUCAUGUUCAUGACAACCUAAAAAUUUUGAUUGGAAAAUGCAUAUAAGAUAAGGGGGUGGAAAAAUGGAAAUUAGUGGCUUUUUUUGCAGUUGUCUGUUAGUUUUGCUCUGGCUGGGUCUCUUUUGUUUAAACAAUUAUAAUCAGCUGAAAGUGGUCUACAAAAAAACCAGGAAGGAAACGUAUUAUAGCCUUGUUGUGGCUAUGAAAGGCAAAAGAAAGAUACCUAUAAAAAGUGUAUUGACUAGUUGGAAGAAACUCCAGAUAAUAAGAUAUUACUUUAUAAACAAAUAUCAAGACCUAGGAAUGGAACCUGGAUAAUAUAGUCAUCAAGAAGAUAACAGGAAGUCAUGAGCAACAACAACUUCAUAAGUAUGAGAAUAUUGAGGAAAUCCAGCUCCUCAUAUCUACUACUGGACAAACUAGAAGAUUGAAGAGGACAAAGCCUUUUGAACUAGUUUGAGUGAUAGUUGAUAGUGAAAAGCAGAGCGUAGUGCUUGUGUGCCUGUGUAUGUUAGAAUAGUGCACGAUCUUGUUAGAUUAGAUAAGAGACGCUAUGAGGUAAGCUCUUCAUUUUAAGGAACAGUAGUAAUUUAGGUUAAGUUAAAAUUGCUCAUUGGUCAGUUAUGACCAGAUUGUAAUUCUCUGAUGUUUGUCAAAAAGGGCUUAAGUCAGAAUUGCACAUCAAUAAUGUUUUGAUGAUUUCUGGACCAUAAAAAAAGUGUUGCAGACUUAAACUGUAUGUACCAACAAAAAGAGCCGAUUUUUCUGGUCCAGAAAUCAUCAAAACGUUAUCGAUGUGCAAUUCUGACUUAAGCCCUUUUUCCCAAACAUCAGAGAAUUGCAAUGUACAAUUCAAUACAAAUGAAUCAUCAUCGUAGUGAUGAUUAUGGAAAAAAAUAUAUGACAAGAUUUUGUGCAAUAAAAAUGUUUAUAUUUA
rnacentral:lncRNA from 1 species